UACUGCUUCUUGGGGACUCCUUACAUUG
rnacentral:piRNA from 1 species